rnacentral:rRNA from 1 species
GAUGAACGCUGGCGGCGUGCCUAAUACAUGCAAGUCGAGCGAACAGACGAGGAGCUUGCUCCUCUGACGUUAGCGGCGGACGGGUGAGUAACACGUGGAUAACCUACCUAUAAUACUGGGAUAACUUCGGGACACCGGAGCUAAUCCCGGAUAAUAUAUUGAACCGCAUGGUUCAAUAGUGAAAGACGGUUUUGCUGUCACUUAUAGAUGGAUCUCGGCCGCAUUAGCUAGUUGGUAAGGUAACGGCUUACCAAGGCAACGAUGCGUAGCCGACCUGAGAGGGGGAUAGGCGACACGGGAGCUGGGACACGGUCCAGACUACUGCGGGAGGCAGCAGUAGGGAAUCUGCCGCAAUGGGCGAAAGCCUGACGGAGCAACGCCGCGUGAGUGAUGAAGGUCUUCGGAGCGUAAAACUCUGUUAUUAGGGAAGAACAAAUGUGUAAGUAACUAUGCACGUCGUGACGGUACCGAAUCAGAAAGCCACGGCUAACUACGUG